CCCUUGCGUCGCAACCCCUGUGGCUCCACUUUUCCCGCGUGAUUCUUGCUCCCGGAGGCCGCGGAAACCCGGUAGUGUCGCAAGGAAGAAGAAGAGUCACCAAGGAGGUACACGAACAAGAGAAAAGGCCAUGUGAGGACAUAGCGAGAAGGCAGCCAUCUGCAAACAAAGGAGAGAGGUCCCAGGAGAAACCAAAUAUACCGACACCUUGUUACUGGAUAGCCUCCAGAAAUGUGACAAAUAAUUUUCUGCUGUUUAAGCCAUCCAGUCUGUGGUAUUCUGUUAUGGCAACCCCAGUAGAACUAAUGCAUGAACCAAAUGGAAAUUUUAGAGCUGAAAUAUGCAACAACUGAAAUUAAAAAUUUACUGGGUAAAUUAGGCCCUGGAGAUGAAAAGAGCAAUGAAUCUGAAGACAGGGCAAUGGAAACCCUUUAAACUGAAGCACAGAGACGUAAGGCUGAAAAGUAAUUAACAGAGCCUCAGUAAUCUGUGAGACAAUAUCAAGUGUUCUGACAUAUGUGUGUUGGAGUUCCAGCAAGAGAGGGAAGCAGCAAAAAACAGCUGGUGUCAGAAAUAUUUCCAAAUUUGAUGACACAUUAAAUUCCAAGAAGUUCAAAGACGUCCAAGCAGAAUAUACAUAAGGAAAAGCAUACCAAUUUGAUGACAGUUGAUUACACUGUAUUGUAUAAGUGAAAUUUGCUAAGAGAGUAGAACUUAAAUGUUCUCACCAAUAAAGAAAGAGAGAGAGGGAGAGAGAGAAAGAAAAAGAGAAAGGGAAAGAGAGGUGAUGGCUGUGAUAAUUAACUGGAUGGGGGAAUCCUUUCACAAUUUAUACCUAUAUCAAAUCAUCAUGUUGUACACUUUAAAUAUCUUAUGAUUUUAUUUGCCAAUAAUGCUGAAGAAAACCCCAGCCAUACCAAAGCACAACAAAAUCAAAUUGUUGAAAAACACUGAGAAGAGAACAUCGUAAAACCACCAAGGAGGGACUUCCCUGGUGGCACAGUGCUUAAGAAUCCGCCCACCAAUGCAGGGGACAUGGAUUCGAGGUCUGGGAAGAUCCCAUAUGCCGUGGAGCAACUAAGCCCGUGUGCCACAACUACUGAGCCCGUGUGCCACAACUACUGAAGCCUGAACGCCUAGAGCCUGUGCUCUGCAGCAAGAGAAGCCACCGCAGUGAGAAGCUCGUGCACCGCAACAGAGUAGCCCCUGCUCACCGCAACUGGAGAAAGCCCGCGCAUAGCAACGAAGACCCAACGCAGCCAAAAAUAAUAAAUAAAUAAAUAAAUAAAUAAAUUUUUUAAAAAA